GGGUCCUGACAGUACCUAGGUAAGGACUACUAGCCAGUCAGGAGCAGAGUAUGAGGGCCCUGACAGUACCUAGGUAAGGACUACUAGCCAGUCAGAAGCAGAGUAUGAGGGCGUGCUACGCUAGCAGCUAGCCGAGCAUAUAACGUGUUACAUAGUGACACACGUUUGUCUCUAAAGUAAAGGCUGGACUAAAACAGAGCU